rfam:Ictidomys tridecemlineatus contig020105, whole genome shotgun sequence.
GGAGUUAUGGCUCAGUGGUAGAGCACUCGCCUAGUGCAUGUGAGGCCCUGGGUUCAAUCCUCAGCACCACCA